CGAGUGGCGAACGGGUGAGUAACACGUGGGUGAUCUGCCCUGCACUCUGGGAUAAGCCUGGGAAACUGGGUCUAAUACCGGAUAGGACCAUGCUUUAGUGUGUGUGGUGGAAAGUUUUUCGGUGUAGGAUGAGCUCGCGGCCUAUCAGCUUGUUGGUGGGGUAAUGGCCUACCAAGGCGGCGACGGGUAGCCGGCCUGAGAGGGUGUACGGCCACAUUGGGACUGAGAUACGGCCCAG
rnacentral:rRNA from 1 species